CCGAUGUCUCCUGGGUAUGACGGAUGCCAAACCGCAACGCCGCCGCCUUACUACACAACAACAUACGCAACAACCGGUUCCUACACCACCAAGGCUCAAGAGUGUUACACCACAAUUCAUGAUGCCCCGAGCUGCUACACCGAAUCCCCGAAUAUAACUCUGCCCUGAGUUACAUCACCAGAGAGCCGUAUUACUAUUACCGAGGUUCCCAAGUACUACAUCACUGAGGCACCGGAAAGCGACACGUAUAUGUAUGCUGCCUCUGCCUACUACACCGAGGCCUACAAGACCGAAGCGCUCAAGUACUACACUACAACCUACGCUGCCCCGAGCUACUACACCUAUGUCCCGAAGUAUUGCUGUGCGUUUUAAAAGAGAAGAGUUUUCUAAAAAGAAAAAGAAAUCGUGCACGAACUGCAGUGCCUUAUCUGUUACCAACUGCAUUCCUCAUCGUGUAACCGAUUCGCAAUUAUGGAUAACUAUGGCGUCGUGCUCCUGUUGGGUUUUGUAUCGUUGAUGCCUUGAU